CAGGGCCCCUUUCUCGGUGUUUUUAGCCCUCCUGUGUUUACUUUCCCAGGUGUUACUCUUUACUGUGACCGUAAGCGUCACGUUUAAUUCUGUUAGUGGAAGGUGCGACUCGCUCAGUGAACAGCUCCGGCGGGGGAUGUGCUCGUAGGGCUGCGGUCAGGCGCUGGCAGUGAAACAGGGCCGUGCCGGGGGGCGCGGACGGGGUUUCGGUUAGCCAGUUUAACUCCCUUUCGUGUGCUGAGGGAUGGACGGCACGCUGUGAGGAAAUGGAGAUGAGGAAAAGAACUUGGGGGGCUGGCGGAUGCUUCCUUGAUAUUACCAGCUCUUUGGGUUCACUGGGUCUGGGAUUCUCCUGCCCCACCUCAGAAAUCCUCAAAAUAGAAGCUGACCUGCAAGACUAUAUUGGAAAUUUGGAUGACCAUGUCAAAUGCUGAUGUCUGCAUUAUAGAAAUCUAAGGCACUAUGGGAACCACUGCAUCGACUAACUUCAGUUCCUCCUUAGAAUGAAAACCUCAAAAGUCAGUGACAGUUCACAUGUCAACUUUAACUUGGAAAAUCUAUUACUAGAGGUGAGUAGUACAGGACACUUCGGUCUUUGUGUUCUCUAUCAGAGUAUCUCGCAAAGCUUCCCACUGCUGCCAGUGAGGUAGUAUUUUUGUGAGCUUGGC
rnacentral:lncRNA from 1 species